UACGUAGGGGGCGAGCGUUGUCCGGAAUUACUGGGCGUAAAGCGCGUGUAGGCGGCUAUUUAAGUCUGAUGUGAAAGCCCGGGGCUCAACCUCGGAAGUGCAUUGGAAACUGGAUAGCUUGAGUACGGGAGAGGGUGGCGGAAUUCCAGGUGUAGGAGUGAAAUCCGUAGAUAUCUGGAGGAACAUCAGUGGCGAAGGCGGCCACCUGGACCGAUACUGACGCUGAGGCGCGAAAGCUAGGGGAGCGAACAGG
rnacentral:rRNA from 1 species